CGACGUGGAUAACCUGCCUCACACAGGGGGAUAACAGUUGGAAACGACUGCUAAUACCGCAUAAGCGCACAGCACCGCAUGGUGCAGUGUGAAAAACUCCGGUGGUGUGAGAUGGAUCCGCGUCUGAUUAGCUUGUUGGCGGGGUAACGGCCCACCAAGGCGACGAUCAGUAGCCGGCCUGAGAGGACGACCGGCCACAUUGGGACUGAGACACGGCCCAG
rnacentral:rRNA from 1 species